rnacentral:rRNA from 1 species
UCACGAAAGUGAGUUGUACUAGAAGUCGCCGCGCUGACCGCAAGGAAGCAAGCGCCCAAGGUAUGACUCAUGAUUGGGGUG